GACGAACGCUGGCGGCGUGCCUAAUACAUGCAAGUCGAACGAAGCUGUUUUAACUGGUGCUUGCACCGACUUAAACAACUGAGUGGCGAACGGGUGAGUAACACGUGGGUAACCUGCCCAGAAGUGGGGGAUAACAUUUGGACACAGAUGCUAAUACCGCAUAAAAGUCAAAACCACAUGGUUUUGAUUUAAAAGAUGGCCUUUGUGCUAUCACUUCUGGAUGGACCCGCGGCGUAUUAGCUAGUUGGUAAGGUAACGGCUUACCAAGGCAAUGAUACGUAGCCGAACUGAGAGGUUGAUCGGCCACAAUGGGACUGAGACACGGCCCAUACUCCUACGGGAGGCAGCAGUAGGGAAUCUUCCACAAUGGGCGCAAGCCUGAUGGAGCAACACCGCGUGAGUGAAGAAGGGUUUCGGCUCGUAAAACUCUGUUGUUAAAGAAGAACGUAUCUAAGAGUAACUGCUUAGGUAGUGACGGUAUUUAACCAGAAAGCCACGGCUAACUACGUGCCAGCCGCCGCAGUAA
rnacentral:rRNA from 1 species